GACAGAGGUUGCAAACGUUGUUCGGAAUCACUGGGCAUAAAGCGCACGUAGGCGGUCUGUUAAGUCAGGUGUGAAAGCCCCCGGCUCAACCGGGGAAUUGCAUUUGAUACUGGCAGGCUCGAGAACGGUAGGGGCGAGUGGAACUCCAGGUGGAGCGGUGAAAUGCGUAGAUAUCUGGAGGAACACCGGUGGCGAAAGCGGCUCACUGGACCGUCACUGACGCUGAGGUGCGAAAGCUAGGGUAGCAAACGGG
rnacentral:rRNA from 1 species